UGCACAUCGCCGGCCAGUGUGGCCGAGCGGUUCUACGCGCUACAGUCUGCAACCGCGCGACCGCAUCGAUCGCAGUUCCAGAUCAGAUGCUCUCCUGAAGACCUGGAGAAACAUUCAGAAGAAACCCCAGCUAACUGUACACUGCGGUGUAUUAACAGCAGAACAUCAGCGUCUGAAGUCAAGAAAACCACCAUGGCGAACUGCACGACAUAUUGAAGCCUCCAACUUUAACAUCAACGAAGUAUGGAGAAGUCAGUCAGUGAGAAGAAUCGUCAGUGUUCAACGGUCAUCUGGUUGAAAAGCCUCCCAUGCGAUUUCCAGGUUCGACACUCCCCAGACACCAGUGGAGAACCAUCAACCGCAUCCGGACAGGACAAGGGAACUGCGGAUAUCUAAAGCAGAAAUGAGGCUGGGUAACAUCUCCAGAUUGUGACUGUGGAGCUGCCCUGCAAACAAUUAAUCACAUUGUUAGUGAAAACCCGAAACGAGCCUUUGGAGGAUCAGUAAAUGACAUCCACCAUGCAUCACCUGGAGGGUUCAACUGGAUCAACAGAUUAGACUUAGAAAUCUAAGAACUUGUGUAAUGUGUAGACAAUUUAGCAUAAUAAUUUGAACAUUUGAUUCUAUACAUGUAUUUUGCUUGCCAUUUCAUACACUGUAUACUCUUAAAAUUAUGUAUUGAUCCAAGCUCUGUAUCAUCAUACGAUAAAUAAAUAAAAAUUAUAAUAAGUUA